UGCAAAAGAUUAGGGAUACCUGGUAUUUACAGACGGUGACAUAGAUUAAUAACCCACAUGCCCUUGGUUGGUAAGGAAUGUCCAUAAUCUUCCCUGGUGAAAUGACAAGUGUCGACUUCUGAUUUUACUAAUCUUCCUUCUUCGGGUGAUUUGAACAUGUCUCGUCAAGAGCUCGUGCGAAAAGCUUAUGCUUCAAAGGGUAAAGUUGCAGAGAAAGGGGUGUCUACCCCUGCUGCUUCAACUCCUAAUGCCCCUACUCCCAAAACUAAGCCCAUCUAUUCAAAAGGGGAUUCCUCUCAUCCCCUUGCAGGGUGCCCUGCAUCUCAUUCGGACAAAGGGAAUGGUCCAAAGCGAGCUAAGCCAGAUUCCCCAAAGUCCCAGCCACCGCCUCAUUCUAAUUGAGGGAAGGAUUCUGCUGAUCCUUCGUCUGAGGAUUCCACAUCACGGGGUUCCAAGGUCUUUGUGCCUAAUUGGAAAGUAACUACAGGGGAUUCUAUCUCUGAUCCUUGGGUUUCUUUUCAAGUGGCUACCCGUAGCAUCCUUCCUACGGAUGCUGGUCUACAUUUGGGCAAGGAUUCAAAGACCCUGGACUUGUAUUCUGUACAGAUAGCCUUCAAGGUAAGUGAUCUUGAUUUUCAAUAUUUUGAGGGUUUUCCUUUCUUGCCUAGUGUAAUUGCAUUUGUUUUAUAAUCUUUCAGGCAACGCAACAUUCCUACUUUGCGAUCCAUCGUCUGUACUUUGGUAGCAAAAAACGAGGCGAAGAACAAGACAAUCGCCGACUUGAAUGCUAAUUUGUUGGAGCUUACUCUUUCUCUUGGAAAGGCUCAACGUCUUACUAAUGAAGCUCAACUGGAGGCUAUUAAGGAAAAUAAUGCACGUCGCCAGCUCAAGGAGAGUUUUGGGAACUCUUGUGGGAGCGAAGGAGAUGCGGGCCAAAUUGGAGGCUUGUGUGGAUAAUGUAUGCUUUGACUACAUCAUGAAUGGGUUUGAGAGUGGUUGUUCAAGAGAAGUAUCCUUAGCUCAAACCUCAUUGGGAUUGAAACGCCAAGACCAGUAGUCCCUUGUUCAGGUGUCGUGGAGCCUUACAUUCCCACUUCAGUCUCCAAUGUUCCCGGAGAUAAGGCCGACUCUCAAGGUCAGGACUUUGAGUGAAGUGAGGAUCCUGGAAUAUUAGGAGUUGUGAAGGCUCUGGGAUGCCACAACAUUUUUGCGGUAGGGCCUCCUUUCGAGUUGUUUGUCUUGGAUGUUUAUGUUUACUUUUGUGUUUUGUUAUGGCUUGAAUGAUUUUUGUUUAUCUUCUAUUAAG
rnacentral:lncRNA from 1 species